rnacentral:rRNA from 1 species
GGGUUCGAUUAUGGCUCAGAUUGAACGCUGGCGGGAUGCUUUACACGGCAUGCAAGUCGAACGGCAGCACGGACUUCGGUCUGGUGGCGAGUGGCGAACAGGUGAGUAAUGUAUCGGAACGUGCCUAGUAGCGGGGGAUAACUACGCGAAAGCGUAGCUAAUACGCCGCCCUUCGAAGCGGGGACCUUCGGGCCUCGCACUAUUAAGAGCAGCCAUUAUCGGAUUAGCUAGUUGGUGGGGUAACGGCUCACAAGGCGACGAUCCGUAGCUGGUUUAGAGGACGACCAGCCACACCAGGACUGGGACGGCUGAACUCCUGCGGAGAGAGCAACGGUGGAAUUUUACUGGACAAUGGAAACCCAGUUGUCAUCCGUGUCGUGAAGGCCUUCGGUUUGUAGCCUUUGGCGGCGGGAAGGAAGCGGCAUGAAAUAAUACCGUCACAACUGACGGUACUCUGCUCAGGAAUAUGCGGCCAACCAUGCCAGCAACCACCGAUAAUACGUAGGGUACUAAGCGUUAAUCAAUUUAUAUGGUAAAGCAUGCGCAGGCUGGUUGAAAAAAAAUGCAAAAUCUAGAAGCAACUUUGGAACUGCAUUUUAACUGCAGCGACUAGAGUGUGUCAGAGAGUGGAAUUCCGCGCGUGUAGCAGUGAAAUGCGUAGAUAUGCGGAGGAGCACCGAUAGCGAGGCAGCCUCCUGGGAUAACACUGGCGCUCAUGCACGAAAGCGUGGGGAGCAAACAGGAUUAGAUACCCUGGUAGUUCACGCCUAAACGAUGUCAACUAGCGCUGUUGUUGGGGCCUUCGGGCCUUGGUAGCGCAGCUAACGCGUGAAGUUGACCGCCUGGGGAGUACGGUCGCAAGAUUAAAACUCAAAGGAAUUGACGGGGACCCGCACAAGCGGUGGAUGAUGUGGAUUAAUUCGAUGCAACGCGAAAAAACCUUACUUACCCUUGACAUGUCUGGAAUCCCGAAGAGAGAUUUGGGAGUGCUCGCAAGAGAACCGGAACACAGGUGCUGCAUGGCUGUCGUCAGCUCGUGUCAUGCGAGAUGUUGCGGUUAAGUCCGCAACGAGCGCAACCCUUGUCAUUAGUUGCUACGAGGCACUCUAAUGAGACUGCCGGUGACAAACCGGAGGAAGGUGGGGAUGACGUCAAGUCCUCAUGGCCCAUAUGGGUAGGGCUUCACACGUCAUACAAUGGUGGGACAGAGGGUCGCCAACCCGCGAGGGUAAUCCCAGAGAAACAGUCGUGGUCGAGAUCAUGAUCUGCAACUCGACUGCGUGAAGUCGGGAAUCGCUAGUAAUCGCGGAUCAGCAUGUCGCGGUGAAUACGUUCCCGGGUCUUGUACACACCGCCCGUCACACCAUGGGGUAAGUUUUGCAGAAGUAGUUAGCCUAACCGUAAGGAGGGCGAUUACCACAGUAGGAUUCAUGACUGGGGUAGAAGUCGUAACAAGGGUAG